UUUUAUAUAUACUAGUUACUUGAGUCAAGACUCAGAAUGGUAUACAAACAAACAACUCUUAUGCUGUACAGCUGUAUCUGCAAAUUGCAUUAGCAGUACUAACUGGUAUUUUCUUUUGGAAAUCACUAUAUAGUCUACAUUUGACAAUACACCUAGUAGAAAUAAUACAAAGAAGUGUGAGCACAAAUGAGUGUUGUAAAGGUUAUCCAGUCAAUAAUGUGACUGGAUGUUAUUUUAUAUGGAAUUAGUCCAUAUGAAUGGCAAAAAGUUUUGGAGUUUGCAUACACAGUAACAUGACUUAGUUUAUAACGGUGGUCUACGGGUCAGCUUGAACAUACCUCGUGACUAUUUCAGCAUAUACUUGCUAUCUCCACCAACACAAGCGCCGACUAACUGUGGCCACAUUUUAUAACCAUGUUUGCAUACCGUAAAAAGGUGUAUCAACUAUCAUAGUAGAUAAAACUAUUGGCUAUCUUUGUCUGGUUAGGAUGGUCAGGAUCAGGAGUAGUUAGAUGGAACUGAGGGACUCUAAGCAAGAAAGGAGAAUUUUUUUAAAUCGUAACUUAGUUUCCAUCCUCCAAUUAACUGGUAGCUUUCUGAUACUUUUAUUGUUUACUUCUCCUUUUCAUUUCUAGUUUAUUAAGUCUUGGAGAUUUUAAUAACGCGGUUUCUUCUAGUACUAGUACUUAUUAUUUUAUUCAAAUGAACCAAUUGUAGCAUCUUUUUCUUGGUUAUUCUUCUUAGUAGGUGAAAAUUUGAGAAAAGACAACAUAUUUUCUUGUCUUAAAUCAAGGAAGGCCCUGUGUUGUUUCCUGCUAAGAGAGGACCAUAUAAUCAUUCAAGGUUCUAUUUUUCUUGGCAUCAAAACUUUCUCUGUAAAUUCUAUACAUGAUUGUUUUUCUCGUAAGCUUGUAGAAUUUCUUGUAUUCUGUUUUCUCCUGUUGAUAAGACUCUUAUCAUUUGCUUUCAAGAAAAGAAAGAUAAGAGGUUAAGAAACUAUAAAAGAAAGUUCACAUGGGCACAGAAUUUGGUUCUGCUAUUGUGGGUGCAGUUGCCUCAUACUUGAUCCAGCCAAUUGUCCGACAAUUCGGAUAUUUGUUUUGCUACAAAAAGAAUGUUAAGGACCUUCAACGACAAUCAGAGAGACUAAACGCUAUGAGCAAUGGGGUGCGGCGUUCGGUUGAUUUGGCUCGUGGGAACUUACAAGAGAUUGCUCCUGAUGUCGAGGCAUGGCUGGUAGAGGUUAACCAGAUGAAGCCAAAGAUUCAGAAUAUUGAAAAUCAGUGUUUGAAUGGACGGUGUCCCAAUGUGAAGUCGCGAUUUGUGCUAAGCAGGAGAGCCAAGAAGACAACAAAAGUUGUUAUACAACUGCAAAAUGAAGGCAAUGGUUAUCUUAGUUUGUGUGGCCCAGCAUCUUUAUUAGGGAUGGACUUUUUUCUUGGCACUGGAAUUUACAUGGAAUUUAAAUCUAGAAAAUCAACAGAACAUGAUAUAAUGGAAGCAAUAAAGGAUAGAAAUGCCAGCAUAAUAGGAAUAUGUGGCAUGGGGGGUGUUGGGAAGACCACGAUGGUGAAAACAAUUGCUAAGAGAGUGAGAGAAGAGAAACUUUUUGAUGAGGUUGUCAUGGCAGUUGUUAGUCAACAACCAGAUUUAAGAAAGAUUCAAGGUGAAAUUUCUGAGUUAUUGGGUCUGAAGCUUGAAGAGGAAAGUUUAUCAGCUAGGUCGUCUCGUUUACGGACAAGAUUAAUGAAUGUUAAGAAGAUUCUUGUCAUUCUAGAUGAUGUCUGGUCCAGGCUUGAUCUUGAGGAACUUGGAAUCCCUUAUGGGAGUUCACAUGAAGGGUGCAAAAUCGUGCUAACAUCCAGAGUCCGCGAUGUCUGUACUGCAACAAGAGCUGAAAAAAUCAUAACAGUUGAAGUUUUAGAUGAAGAAGAAGCGUGGAUUCUUUUCAGAGGGCAAACGGGAAACUGUAUUGAAGCCCCCGAUUUACGUCCUAUAGCAAGAGAUGUUGCCAAUGAAUGCAAAGGUCUGCCAAUUGCCCUUGUAACUGUUGGAAGGGCGCUGCAAAAUAAGCACAAGCCUUUGUGGGAGGAUGCCCUUUUACAAUUGAGAAAAGCUCUGCCUACUAACAUACCUGGACUGCUUGCUGAUGUAUAUCGACCACUAGAGCUGAGCUAUGAUCGGAUCGAAAGCGCUGAAGCCAGGUCUCUCUUUCUACUUUGUUCUUUAUUCCAAGAAGAUUUUAAUAUCCCCAUCGAAGACUUGAUUAGAUAUGGAAUGGGAUUACGUAUGUUUGGUGGGAUCCAAAAUUUGGCAGAAGCAAGAAACCGAGCGUAUACUUUAGUUGAGAUACUUAAAGAUCGUUUCUUGCUUAUUGAGGGAUAUAAAGCAUCAUACGUCAAAAUGCAUGAUCUUGUUCGUGACGUUGCAAUAUUUAUUGCGUCCCAGGAUAAGCACACCUUUUUGAUAAGCCACAAUGUCAACCUCAAAGACUGGCCGAUUGAAGACUCCUACGAGCACUGCAAGUGCAUCUCUGUGAUUUCGAAGGAAAUGUCCUCACUUCCAAGUGGACUGACUUUCACUAAACUUGAUCUUUUGCAAUUAGAAUGUGACAAGCCACAGAUCUCCGUACCAGAUAGUUUCUUUGAAGGAAUGAGAGCACUCAAAGUAUUGGACAUCUGUCACAUGGAUAUGCCAUUUCUACCACCAUCUCUAGGAUUUCUAAGGAACCUUCGAGCAAUGCAUCUUUAUAGCUGCUCCUUGGAAGAUGUAUCCGUGAUUGGUGAGUUAGUGAACCUUGAAAUUCUUAGUUUUCGUGGCUCUGAUAUUAAGGUAUUGCCAGCACAAAUUGGAAAGCUGAAAAAGUUGAGGUUGUUGGAUAUGUCAGGUUGUGGCGAUCUUAGAGAAAUUGCACCAAAUGUGAUAUCAAGCCUAGUUCGCUUGGAAGAACUUUAUAUGGGGUGCAACUUUGGUUUUAGAUGGGCAGUUGUGGAAGAAGGAAAAGAAAGAAGUAAUGCUUCAGUUGGUGAGCUGGAAACGUUAUCGAACUUGAGUACUUUAGAGAUUCAAAUAGCCGAUGCUAAGGCUAUUCCAAGAAACAUGCUUCUUUCCUCAAAGCUGACAAAAUAUGCUAUAUCGAUAAGAGAUGUCCUGCCCAACAAUGUCGAGAAACGUUUCCAGCGAGCUAUGUACCUUUUCCUACCGACAAUGGCUCCGUUGGCUGAUUGGAUUCGGUCAACAUUAAGAGGUACGGAGUAUCUAGAUUUAGUGGGAGAAGGUUCACUGAACGCAGUGAAAGAGUUGAUGCCGGAGGCUUUUCAGCAUGUGAAGGUAUUGCAGAUCAAUAACUGUGAUAUCCUGGAGUUUCUUGUAAACACAAGUUGCAUUGUACAUGGAACUGGUGUUUUCCCCAUUUUGGAGUUGCUGAAUCUCGUCGACCUUACCAGUUUACAAGAGAUCUGUCAUGGUCCUUUGCCAGCAGGAUCCUUCAGUAAAUUGAAAGAACUGAAGCUCGAUUUAUUAGAGUGCCUAAAGAGCUUGUCAAUAUAUCCAAAUGUUUCACUUGCCAACCUCAGAUCCAUAUCCAUAAACAGAUGUCCUAGAUUACAAAAUCUCUUUCCAAUUUCAGUGGUCAGAGGGUUGUCACAGCUUGAAGAACUCAGAAUCUCUGAUUGCCAGAUGAUGGAAGAAGUCUUUUCAGAGGAUGUAACAGGAGAUGAGGUUGUGGAUGACAAGAUUAAGUUCUCCAAAUUAAAGAUCUUAAGGCUUGUGGAUUUACCAAUGCUCAAAGCAUUCUGCAAGGGAAUUGAGGACAUUGAGUUCCCCAGUUUACAGUUCUCGAGAAUUGAGAACCUUCCGAACCUCCCAAAUUUCUCCCCAGAAAGUAGUUUUACUGCUCAUGAUGAUCAGAUUAUUGAGUUACAAACUCUUUCCGUUGAAUCACCACAUCGGCUAAAAGUAGAAACGGCUAGAUGAAGGUAAGGGCGAUACAAAAAUGAAAGGAUCGCACCCUAAGGGGAUAUAGUGUAGGCAACCUAUCCUGAUGUAAGCAUUAGUGGUUGGUCUCAUGGUUCAAACUUGUGACCUAUGAUUCACAUGGAGACAGCUAUACAGUUGCUCCAAGGCUAACCUUCUAGGCAAGUGCUGUCUGAAAUGCCAAAUAAAGAUUGACAUUUGGAGCUCAAGUGUAAAAUAUGUAGCAACAGCUACUUGUGAUUGAUAACUUUAUCUGCAGAUAUUGGAAAGUUGUUACUGCAGUUGAUGAUGAAUGUGACAAUGGAAAGUUCUUUUCAACAUUUCUUUGUGGUGGUGGAGUCUAAUGGGGGCAGUCAAUGGUACAAUGAGGACAAAUGAUUGGAAACUGAGCAUUUUUGGGUGAUUUUUGGAGGUGAUCCUGUGUCCUCGAGUUAACGAGAGGAGCUCGCGACACUUAGAAGAUUUUUUGUACCAACUGAAGGAAGUUGGGCAUCACACCAGCGUUGCGCAGAGGCUAAUCAGGCGUGAACCCCGCGUCGCGGGUAGGAGACGCGAAAAACAACUGCAGAACAAGGCGAAUUAGAAAUCACUGAGGACACCCGCGUUGCACAUGCGACGCGGGUGCAACACAUACGAGCUGCCAGUUUCUCC